AUUGAACGCUGGCGGCAGGCCUAACACAUGCAAGUCGAGCGAGCGGAGGACGGGUGAGUAAUGUCUGGGAAACUGACUGAUAGAGGGGGAUAACUACUGGAAACGGGAGCUAAUACCGCAUACCAUCAGAUUUGCCCAGAUGGGAUUAGAUAGUAGGUGGGUUAACGGCUCACCUAGGGGACGAUCCCUAGCUGGUGUGAGAGGUUGAUCAGCCACACUGGAACUGAGACACGGCCCAGACUCCUACGGGAGGAAGCAGUGGGGAAUAUUGCACAAUGGGCGCAAGUCUGAUGCAGCCAUGCCGCGUGUGUGAAGAAGGCCUUCGGAUUGUAAAGCACUUUCAGCGGGGAGGCGGUACCCGCAGAAGAAGCACCGGCUAACUCCGUGCCAGCAGCCGCGGUAAUUC
rnacentral:rRNA from 1 species